AUGGUUGAGAACAUAGUGGAAGAGAUUGGGUGGGAAAUGGCAGGGAGAUUGAAAGUGUACUACCCGAUUCCUAUACUGUCAAUCACGCAAAAUGGAUUGAGAGAGAUCAGAGGAGAUGCAGACACUGAUCAGAUGCUGACAUUUUUGUCUCUUGGUCAUAACUCUUUCAGUCUAUAUUUGGACCAUGACAACAGCUUGGAUUCCAACCGUUCUGAGGAUGAUGUGGUGAAUUUCCCAAUAACUCACCUGCCUCCAGUAUUUAGUCCUAGAAGAGCAUGUAACAAUGAGCCAGAGAGAUCAGAAGCAGAGCAUCCUAUUCCUAUACAGGUGGUCUACCCAGACAGUUCAGCAGAUGAUGUUACCAAGUAUGUGUUUGCAAAGAGGAACUGCUCUAUUGUCAAUGAUGAAGAUGCAAAUAUGGAAGAUGCAGAGACUGUUGUCAUUCAAGCUGAGGCAGAAGAAGCAGAACCUGAGACGGAACAACCACAACAUGAGGCAGAACAACCACAACAUGAGGAAAAACAACCACAACAUGAGGCAGAAGAGACAAAGUAG
rnacentral:rRNA from 1 species